GGAUUAGAUACCCUGGUAGUCCACGCCGUAAACGAUGAGUGCUAGAUGUCGGUGCUCUUAGAGCUUCGGUGUCGCAGCUAACGCAUUAAGCACUCCGCCUGGGGAGUACGGUCGCAAGAUUAAAACUCAAAGGAAUUGACGGGGGCCUGCACAAGCGGUGGAGCAUGUGGUUUAAUUCGAAGCAAUGCGCAGAACCUUACCAGCCCUUGACAUCCUGGUCGCGAGGAGUGGAGACACACCUUUUCAGUUCGGCUGGACCAGUGACAGGUGCUGCAUGGCUGUCGUCAGCUCGUGCUG
rnacentral:rRNA from 1 species